rnacentral:rRNA from 1 species
AUUGAACGCUGGCGGCAGGCCUAACACAUGCAAGUCGAACGAGUGGCGGACGGGUGAGUAAUGUCUGGGAAACUGCCCGAUGGAGGGGGGUAACUACUGGAAACGGUAGCUAAUACCGCAUACCAUCGGAUUUGCCCAGAUGGGAUUAGCUAGUAGGUGGGGUAAAGGCUCACCUAGGCGACAAUCCCUAGCUGGUCGGAGAGGAUGACCAGCCACACUGGAACGGAGACACGGCCCAGACUCCUACGCGAGGCAGCAGUGGGGAAUAUUGCACAAUGGGCGCAAGCCUGAUGCAGCCAUGCCGCGUGUAUGAAUAAGGCCUUCGGGUUGUAAAGUACUUUCAGCGAGGAGGCGUUACGCGCAGAAGAAGCACCGGCUAACUCCGUGCCAGCAGCCGCGGUAAUUC